UACGUAGGGUGCGAGCGUUGUCCGGAAUUAUUCGGCGUAAAGAGCUCGUAGGCGGUGUGUCACGUCGGCCGUGAAAACCUGCAGCUUAACUGUGGGCGUGCGGUCGAUACGGGUGGACUAGAGGUAGGUAGGGGAGAACGGAAUUCCUGGUGUAGCGGUGAAAUGCGCAGAUAUCAGGAGGAACACCGGUGGCGAAGGCGGUUCUCUGGGCCUUACCUGACGCUGAGGAGCGAAAGCAUGGGGAGCAAACAGG
rnacentral:rRNA from 1 species